AUUGAACGCUGGCGGCAGGCUUAACACAUGCAAGUAGAGCGGGGGAAGGUAGCUUGCUACCGGACCUAGCGGCGGACGGGUGAGUAAUGCUUAGGAAUCUGCCUAUUAGUGGGGGACAACAUCUCGAAAGGGAUGCUAAUACCGCAUACGUCCUACGGGAGAAAGCAGGGGAUCUUCGGACCUUGCGCUAAUAGAUGAGCCUAAGUCGGAUUAGCUAGUUGGUGGGGUAAAGGCCUACCAAGGCGACGAUCUGUAGCGGGUCUGAGAGGAUGAUCCGCCACACUGGGACUGAGACACGGCCCAGACUCCUACGGGAGGCAGCAGUGGGGAAUAUUGGACAAUGGGGGGAACCCUGAUCCAGCCAUGCCGCGUGUGUGAAGAAGGCCUUAUGGUUGUAAAGCACUUCAAGCGAGGAGGAGGCUACUUUAGUUAAUACCUAGAGAUAGUGGACGUUACUCGCAGAAUAAGCACCGGCUAACUCUGUGCCAGCCGCCGCCGUAA
rnacentral:rRNA from 1 species